rnacentral:rRNA from 1 species
GACGAACGCUGGCGGCGUGCUUAACACAUGCAAGUCGAGCGGUAAGGCCCUUUCGGGGGUACGACGAGCGGCGAACGGGUGGAGUAACAACGUGGGUGGACCUCGCCCUCCAGCUCCUGGGGAGUAAAGCCUGGGAAACGUAGGGUCGUAAUAACUGGAUAUGACUCCACGGUGCAUGUCGUGGGGUGGAAAGCCUUGUGCGGCUGAGGAUGGGCCCGCGGCCUAUCAGCUUGUUGGUGGGGGG